rnacentral:rRNA from 1 species
GGCGGCGUGCUUAACACAUGCAAGUCGAACGAAGAGCGAUGGAAGCUUGCUUCUAUCAAUCUUAGUGGCGAACGGGUGAGUAACGCGUAAUCAACCUGCCCUUCAGAGGGGGACAACAGUUGGAAACGACUGCUAAUACCGCAUACGAUCUAACCUCGGCAUCGAGGAAAGAUGAAAGGUGGCCUCUAUGUAUAAGCUAUCACUGAAGGAGGGGAUUGCGUCUGAUUAGCUAGUUGGAGGGGUAACGGCCCACCAAGGCGAUGAUCAGUAGCCGGUCUGAGAGGAUGAACGGCCACAUUGGGACUGAGACACGGCCCAGACUCCUACGGGAGGCAGCAGUGGGGAAUCUUCCGCAAUGGACGAAAGUCUGACGGAGCAACGCCGCGUGAGUGAUGACGGCCUUCGGGUUGUAAAGCUCUGUUAAUCGGGACGAAAGGCCUUCUUGCGAAUAGUUAGAAGGAUUGACGGUACCGGAAUAGAAAGCCACGGCUAACUACGUG